rnacentral:misc_RNA from 1 species
CGAAAUGCGAUAAGUAAUGUGAAUUGCAGAAUUCAGUGAAUCAUCGAAUCUUUGAACGCACCUUGCGCUCCUUGGUAUUCCUUGGAGCAUGCCUGUUUGAGUAUCAUGAAAUCUUCAAAGUAAAUCUUUUGUUAACUCAAUUGGUUUCUACUUUGGUAUUGGAGGUCUUUGCAGCUUCACACCUGCUCCUCUUUGUUCAUUAGCUGGAUCUCAGUGUUAUGCUUGGUUCCACUCGGCGUGAUAAGUUAUCUAUCGCUGAGGACACUGUAAAAGGUGGCCAAGGUAAAUGCAGAUGAACCGCUUCUAAUAGUCCAUUGACUUGGACAAUACUUUUAUGAUCUGAUCUCAAAUCAGGUGGACUACCCGCUGAACUUAAGC